rnacentral:rRNA from 1 species
GACGAACGCUGGCGGCGUGCUUAACACAUGCAAGUCGAACGGAAAGGCCCUGCUUUUGUGGUGUGCUCGAGUGGCGAACGCGUGAGUAUCACGUGUGUAUCCUGCCCUUGACUUUGGGAUAACUUCACGAAACUGGGGCUAAUAUCGGAUAGGAUCUCCUGCUCCAUGGUGGGCGUUGGAAAGUUUCGGCGGUAGGGGAUGGACUCGCGGCUUACCAGCUUGUUGGUGGGGUAGUUGCUUACCAAGCCUUUGACGGGUAGGCGGCCUUGGAGGGUAAACGGCGUCAAUAGGACUGAGGUACGGCGCAGACGGGAACGGGAGGCAACAGUGGGAAGUAUGACACAGUGAGCGGGAGCGUGAUACGGAGGCGCUGGGUGCGGAAUGACGGCCUUCGGGUUAAGAACAGCUGUCGCCUGAGACGAAGCGUGAGUGACGGUAAUGAAUAAAGAAGCACCGGCUAACUACGUG